rnacentral:rRNA from 1 species
CGGGUGAGUAACGCGUGAGGAACCUGCCUCAAAGAGGGGACAACAGUUGGAAACGACUGCUAAUACCGCAUAAGCCCACGGCUCGGCAUCGAGCAGAGGGAAAAGGAGUGAUCCGCUUUGAGAUGGCCUCGCGUCCGAUUAGCUGGUUGGUGAGGUAAUGGCCCACCAAGGCGACGAUCGGUAGCCGGACUGAGAGGUUGAACGGCCACAUUGGGACUGAGACACGGCCCAG